rnacentral:rRNA from 1 species
GACGAACGCUGGCGGCAGGCCUAAUACAUGCAAGUCGAACGGCAGCACAGCAGAGCUUGCUCUGUGGGUGGCGAGUGGCGGACGGGUGAGGAAUACAUGGGAAUCUGCCCAGUCGUGGGGGAUAACGUAUGGAAACGUACGCUAAUACCGCAUGCGCCCUACGGGGGAAAGCCGGGGACCGCAAGGCCUGGCGCGAUUGGAUGAGCCCAUGUUCGAUUAGCUAGUUGGCGGGGUAAAGGCCCACCAAGGCGACGAUCGAUAGCUGGUCUGAGAGGAUGAUCAGCCACACUGGAACUGAGACACGGUCCAGACUCCUACGGGAGGCAGCAGUAGGGAAUAUUGGACAAUGGGGGCAACCCUGAUCCAGCCAUGCCGCGUGAGUGAAGAAGGCCCUCGGGUUGUAAAGCUCUUUUGUCCGGAAAGAAAAGCAUCUGGUUAAUACCCGGGUGUUCUGACGGUACCGGAAGAAUAAGCACCGGCUAACUUCGUGCCAGC